rnacentral:lncRNA from 1 species
UUUAAUUAUAAUUUUAUUUUAUUUUAUUUUAUUUUAUUUAUUUGUGUGUAUUUAUUUGAUAAUAUCUUAUUCUGUAUAAAAUUAUUCUGUAUAAUUUAGAAGAUAGUCCCAUGUUUGUGUUGGAAAAAUCUUUCUAAUCUUUUAUUAUAAUAUUUUAAAAAUAAAUCUGAAGUUUAAUUUCAAAUUUAGAAAAAUUUCAAGAAAGAAAAUAAAUAAUAAAUACUGUAAAAAAAAGGUUUAGAUAAGGCCUGUGGAUCGAGACGUGCAGAGUACUGUUCUAAAAGCGAAAUUGCCCCUCUACGUGCGAGGCUUCUUGAUAAUUACUUACAGCGAUACAACGACCACGUUCCACCCCGUCGGCACGAUUUCAAGGUAGCGCAAAACAAACCCAACAAGUUUCAGAUGUAGAAAAGAAAACUCCGCGAAAAUCGACGGAAAAGAUUAAUAGUGAGAAAGUAGUGAAAGACGAGAUAGAGUUUAGGUAUGCUUAGAUUUUU